AUCCUACGGGGGGCAGCAGUGGGGGAUAUUGCACAAUGGGGGAAACCCUGAUGCAGCGACGCCGCGGGUAGGAAGACGGUCCUCUGGAUUGUAAACUACUGUCCCCAGGGGCGAAGAUGACGGUACCUGGGGAGGAAGCUCCGGCUAACUACGUGCCAGCAGCCGCGGUAAUACGUAGGGAGCGAGCGUUGUCCGGAAUUACUGGGUGUAAAGGGAGCGUAGGCGGGGGUGCAAGUGGGGGGUUGAAUCUACCGGCUCAACUGGU
rnacentral:rRNA from 1 species